rnacentral:lncRNA from 1 species
CAAACAACCAAAUAGCCACAACUAUCACAACAGAAAUCAACCUUGGUGUCUGCAUGGAGAGAGUCUCCCUGUUGACUGUGGAAGAGGUCUAUUUACCCGGGCCCAGGUGUUUCCCAAGUAGCUGACGACCCUCCCAACUCCGCCCACCGGCAUCCUAAUAAGGAAACAAGAACAAAGAGAGAAUAUGGCAGACAGAGUGGGAGGCUCGUCACAGAGAGAACGAGCUAAAGUGGGAUAGAAACAGAUACAGAACCAGCGACAGUUGGAAAUAGACGGACAGAUAGAACCAGUGGCAGUAGGAUAGAGACGGACAGACAGAACCAGGGACAGUGGGAAAUAAACAGACAGAUAGAACCUGCGACAGUGGGAUAGAGACAGACAGAUAGAACCAGCGACAGUGGGAUAGAAACAGACAGGUAGAACCAGCGACUGUGGGGUAGAGACAGACAGAUAGAUCUAGCGACAGUGGUAUAGAGACAGACGGAUAGAACCAGUGACAGUCGGAUAGAGACAGACAGAUAGAACCAGCGACAGUGGGAUAGAGACAGACGGAUAGAACCAGCGACAGUGGGAUAGGGACAGACAGGUAAUACCAGCGACAGUGGGAUAGAGACAGACAGACAUAUAGAACCAGCGACAGUGGGAUAGAGACAGACAGAAAGAGUGAGAGAAGGAUAGAGAAAGAGCUAUAGAAAACGAGGGAUAGCAAGUGUGAGAUAUAGAGAGAGGGAUAGUGAGUAACAGAGAGAAAAGAGAGGAAAAUCAAUGUUCUAACAUAAAUGAAUGAAAUCCAAAUGGAUGUGUCAUGGUAGCACAUUAUUUGCCACUGCAGCCCAGCAGAGAGUAGAGACAAACAAUAGGUCACACUGCACAACCAUCUUUACAUUUGUCUAAUACUGUCAUGCAUCACCCCCUCCUGCAACAAGACUACGCAGGCUUCACACACAGCUUGUGUGAGAGAGUCGGCAAUAGACACGCCAUUUGACAAUGCAUCGCACGCCUCUGCUGACGUUGCACCAGAGGGUUUUUUUCUGCUACCACGCUCUCCGUACCUCAUCCCUCAGCGAGCCACCCUGGAAAGAACACUCCACGGGUGUGAGCGGUGUGAGCGAGAGGCAGGGGGAGGCUAAUCUGUUCCUUUCCCUUCUGAGUCUUGGCUUUGUGUUCAGGGAAAAGAGGAGGGAGCGAGGGAUUGGAGGGAGAGGGGGUGUGGGGAAUCUGAAGAGGGCUACAGUAGUACAUGAAUGCUGCACAACAGAUGAAAUGGAUUGCUAGAGCUUUGGACAUGGUUGUGGUUUCCGCUAUCUUGUUUUGUUUUUUUUGCAUUAUGUCAACAUGGUGGAGAUAUGCGUUUGCUGUUAUACUGUGG